AAAAGCGCUUGGAGCAGAGAAAGCUGGAAAACAACUGCUGUGUCUGCAAGUUGUGCUGGUGAAUGGAGAGUGGAAUGGAAAGUAACCCAAAGUGCUCCGUGGCGUGGUCAGCUGCCAGGCUGGGAGAGAGUGAGGUGCAGGGACUGAGAAUUCAGGGUUCAUAGAGGCUUCAUAUGUGGUUGUCUUGAGCAGAGCCUCUCGCCUGGCUCUACUGUGUCAGAGCAGUGACACUGCUGUCCUAGCACCUGUGUACCUGCUGGUGAUCAUCCGCUGGAACUGCCUUACUGCAGAGGAGCCUGAAGGACCUACUGUAUGGAAAGUUUUCAUCUGUUUCAUUAGAGAUGUGCUUGAGCCCUCAAAACACCAACUAGCCUGUCUUCUGAUGAGAUGCUUCAGUCCAGUGGAACAAAAGAGGGAGUGCAGAAAAUAAAUGGACUGAAAGGUUAAAAGAGGGUAAUCGUCAAAAGAAACAAGCAAAAAGUGUGUGACUUCUAUCAGGGAACUCGGAGCCCAUUUCAAGUUAUUGCACGCUGCAGAGAAAGAAAAUCUUGGCUUCUGACUCAUAAUCGCGUGGACCAACUGCAACCACAGGCUGUGCUGGUGCUCCUAAAACCAGACCGAGUUUUGUGCCAUGCUGCUGCAUCCCCUCCCACACCUGCCACCCCCUGGGAAGCACCGAAACAGGAAGCAGGAAGCACCGUAAAUCUUGUGAAGGAGCCUUCUGGCAAGAUUCCUAGCCCGGCUCUGAGCACUGAGUUUUGGAUCAUUUGGAUAAACUUCAUGGUGAGGAAUGGCCAGUGCCUGGAUAUCCUAAUGUUGGGAAGAGCAAGACGCAGAGCUUGGUGAGUCCCACUUGGCAGCAGCGACUUGUGAGAGAGCAGCAGCCCUUGGGGGAGAAGUGUGGUCCUGUUUACUUACAGCUGUAACUUCAUCACUGAAGACAAUUUUAAGCUUCCUAGGAAAGUUAAUUGAAAGAUUCAAAGCACUGGAAUUGAUGUCAAGCUGAGGAAGAACCUCCUUGGGUGGGUAGAACAAAGUCACAGUGCCCAUGGGAAGGCAGUGCCGCAUGAUGAAGAGCUGUGCCAAGGGCUGGAGAAAACCUGAGUCCUGCUGCAUCCCGAAGGAAGCAGAGAUGAUCGGUUUGUGUGACUUCAAGCAUAAGGUGGUGCACACCUUCAUUGCCGUGCUUCCCAUCCAGACCAGCUUUUCUCUACACUUUUGCUUCCCAAUCUCAUCUGAAAGUCCAUAUUUCUGCACUUCCUUAUUCAUUAUUCAUCCUGUGUUGGUGGGUGACUCUGAAGGAAUCUUCUGAGUGACUGAAUCGCGACGUCUGGAUUAUUCAAGCAAAUUCUGGGGCAGUCUUCUGACUUCUAAAUGCUUCCUGGAAUGACUUAGUGAAAAAUGAGCAGCCAAGCAGCAAUCAGGCAAGCAAAGCAGAUUUCAGAACUGGAGGAACAUUAAGGUACUAAAAUAGGUCCGAGUCCUGAAACCCUACCCUGGCCUGGGAAAAAAAAACACCUCCAUUGUCUUCAGUGGGAGCUGCCUGGCGUGACAUUACCGCAGUGCCACUCCGUUAGGACUGAUCCAGGUGUGCAGUACAACCAGCACACAGCCCUGCUGAGAGCCCACCACGUACUUCUCUGCCUUGCUUCACCGCUUUGGUCCAAGCUCCUGAGCCAAUGUCUCUGCCCCACAUUCAGCUCCAAGCAUUCUGAAGAGGCAGUAAGAAACCAGCUUGAUGGUUUGUGGAUCAUAAAGGAAUAAGGAUAAAAAAAAAAAAUAAAGAGGGAAGAAUUCACAUCCCGGCAUCAGUCAGAAAUACCUGAAAGCACCUGGCAACUGUGCUGCGAAGGGAUGCUCUACCCCAGGGCCACAAAACCUUCAGCUUUCCACUGUGAUCACUUUAUGAAGCCCAUCACAGCCACGAAGCCCACUUUCCCUCCUGAGGCCUCACUGUGGGCACAGAGUCACCCCACCAUCACCAUCGCUCCCUGGACUGCUGCCAUAAAGCUGCCCUACUGAAGCUGAUGUGAGUUUGGAAAACAGCAGCAGAUUCGUUCUUUGAAGACCAAAUGUAAUUCCCUGUCACCAUCACGAGACUAACACAAUGUGAGACUUCUCUGAGGACUUUGUGUUGGAAUAGUGGGACUCUAUCAGCAUGAAGGGAAUAUCAACAAAGAGAGUCUGAGUGUCCAUGAAAUUAAUCUGGGCCUCAGGAGAGCAGUCUGGAGCUGUGUCUGGAGCUUCCUGCGUGGCCAUUGUAAGCUCCAGAGAUGUCCUUUGAUAUGACAUAUCCCAUCGGUAGCUCUUGCAUACCUUGCAUACAGAGAGGAAUAAGACCUGGGAUUACGCAUCUGAUGCUAUAAGCUGCAGCAUGACCUGAAAGGGUUGAUCUAUUGCCCACCAAAGAUCACCUUCUGCUCACUAGGACAUCGCUGGGACCUCACAGCAUCCUCAUACAAUGAGAACCUUUUGCUGGAUCUCCACCUGGGAGAAAGGUUUAGAUGUACCUGAAAUUUAUGAUUUUGAGGGUGUCCCCAAGGAGAUAUUAAAGGAAAACUACAGCUGAAGCCCUAUGGAAAGGCAGUAUAAAAGGAACAGGAAUAAAUACUACCAGUGAUUUGACACACUAGGAUUACUUGGCUUGGAAACAUGGUGUAAGGGGAGAAGCAAAGCUGGCGGUCAUACAACAAGGGACCCAUACUGCUCUCCAGCUCUGACCUGACAACUGUGUGGCUGAAGCCUGAAGCUUCAAAUCAGAAGCAUCCAUCUCAAUCAGUGGAGAGAUGCCUCCCCACAGUGAGCAACUUGAACUAGAGAUUGAUAUUGCAGUGACUAGGAUGAGUGGAGAGAGGUACUGCCAUCAGCGCUGCUACACAAGCUUUUGCUGAUUGAGAAGCUCAUGAGAUACAUCUCAUUUCCCUGGAGAACCUCAAGGAAGCAGCGGUCAGACAAUCCUUUCCUAGCCUGCCUUGGGCAAUGCUGGUGGUACAGCACUGCUGGUACUGCAUGUGGGCUGCAGUGCUGCUACUGGGCUCCUUGGGCAGAGCAUGAUUCAGCCUUCAGUGUUACAGAAGUCCUUAUUCCAAAGGAACCCACAAUUUGGGACAGAACAGGGAUGGUCACAGAUACUGAAUCCAUGCAUUCCAGGAAAGAGGUGGCCACACACAUCGAGCUGAGUUUCCUCCUGGUGAAGCCCUCAUAAGCACUUGGUCAUCCCCAGAGAUGGCAGAGAACACUGGGUUCUGGAGCCUGUCUGCUGUUUGAACACAGCCCUUGGUGAUAGGGAAGAGUAGAGUGGCACCAUUCCUGGAAAGGCAACAGGAGAUGGAAGAUUUCUGUGAAUUCAAGGCUGUUUUCAGGCAGCCCAAACUCUACCCAUGUUCUCGUGCCUAAUUUUAUCCACAACAUACUCUGGACCUUCAGGGUUGCCAAACUAAUAGGAAACCAAAGCUGAACUAGGUGAAUUAGAUGGAAUACAGCUGUUGCAGGGCACUUGAGUUGCGUCCUCUGUAAUCACGGAACUUCCUAGCAAAGCUAUGUGAGUAAUGGACUAUUUUUGUUUUCUGACAAUUCUAAAAACAUUCAGCAAAAAUAUUUGUAAAGGUUGUUUGAGUGUAUCCAAAACAGUCCUUAGGAGGUGUGUGAACUGAAAAGCUGUCUGGUCUGCCUUGCUUCUUUGGUCACACGAAAAAUUUUACCUCCUUUUUAUUUUUGCAUGUAAUUGUUUGCCUUAAUUUAAUAUUUCUUUAACCUUUAAGUAAAAAUCUUAUAGAAUUUGAAAUAACUUUAAAGUGGUUAAUGUAAAAAAUACAUAUAUAUUGGUCACCAGCUGUUAUUACAAGCCUUCCGUAUUACUGCAUGACCAGAGGAGGCCUUAGGCAGCCAAACAGGGGCUGUAUGGGUCCUAAAUGCCCCUCCAAGUCUUGUAAAAGCAAGCCAUGCUCUUGCCCUCUCAUCUCUAAUGCUACAUGCAGAACAAAACAUGCUACUAUCUGGUCUGCUAACCAUAGGUGCAAACCACUGCAGAUCUUGAGGGUGUUUCGAUGUAACUCCAUUAAAAAUGAACAACUGAUUCGACAAAAAGAAAGUCAGAAUCUACAGCACAAAACCUCAUGACAUAAAACUUACCCCAUCCCCUUCUCUUUCCUGUGGGUAUCAGCAUGUAUUGCUUUGAAUCCGUGACUAUUGCAACUGUUAGGAGUGGCGGAAUACUUUUACACAUCUAUUUAUUUAUCUUUAAGCCCUGCACAUAGUUGGCUGUGGGCUUGUGAAAAAGAGUUAUCAAAGCCUUGGCGUGGUGUUGUUUUGUUCUGCUUUUCAAUGCAAUUUUAUCCGUUCCUGCAGCUGGCUGUUCCUCUUUUUAACAGCCAGGCUCUUCAAACCAAGUGCUUAGAAUAGCUUUUAAGUUGCCAGGCUGGUUAGAGAUGAUUGUGUCUGGCAGAAUGUCUUUAUGGUGCUGGUGGUAAGGAAAAAGCAGGCGUAGUGCUAUUGACCGCUGCUGGAAAUCUGAAACCUGGCUGGUGCCUCGUCCCAUCCAUGAUGUGAGUGAAGGCAGAUCUGCUCGAUAUCAUUUUAAAUUAUUUUCCCCUAGAAGUCAGGGGUAUCUAAAACAAACUAGGAGAAUUUAAGACAGAUGAGCUCUGGAGUUGUGUGUUGUCUCAAGAGUAUCAGGGACUUAAAGCACCUCUGGCCUGUUGUAGCACCAGCUGGUGAGAUGUCUGCCUGUAGCUGCCAAGAAAGGGCAGUAAAAAGGUGAAGAAAGAGAGAAUAGAGCAUUGUUUAGAUAUACUGGAAGAUGAUGCAGAGCUGGGAGGGCUUGUUGUCAUCAGGAGCAGAUAAGAUGUUCCACGUGCUAUCACUUGGAUGCAAGUGGCAGUAAACCAGAGCCACCAGAGAACCACGUUCAUAGCAAUAAUUUGGUGGAGCAUCCAGGUUCAGCACAGAUAACCUCUGCCUUGCUCAUCUGACACCCUUAAACUAUUGAAGUGGCUCCUUCAUUCCAAAACUACCCAUUUCACCCACCGUUCUGACUCCACACAAUGAAUCAGCCAGAUAGAAGGGCAAUAUUCUGAGAGCACUUACAUUUAAUGCUAAGAUAUUAGGAUGAGGUGUUUGCAACCAUUUUCUGUUUACCCAUUUCUUACCACAAUGAAUAAAGAAUUCAGGAUCUCAAAAUACUUGGCGAACUGGGUACUUAAGCAUCUUCUGACAUAUUCUAACCCAAACCUAUCGAAAAUUUGUCUUUGAUCUUUACUCUCUGGGGUCUUUAGUGUUUGUGUAUAAACAAAUCCAGAUCUUGAAGUGAAAAGUUGGUUAUACAAAAAAUAAAAUAAUAAAAAUUGCCCCAAACCUGAAAAUGUUUCUGCAACUUUGAGAUAUUUGGUUUUUUUUCCUGAUUUUUUUAUUUUUUAGCAAGUGAAUAAAUUGCCAAUUUAACACAUCUCUGUGAAGAGUUUCAAAGUUGGUUUUUCCCAGUGGAAAAAAUAAAGGAGCACAGUUUUCAUCUCAUUCUAUUUGACCCAGCAAACCGAGCUGGGCUCCAGGAGUGACACACAUCUGAAAUGAGCUGUGAGGUGCACCCGUGCUCUCUCUAUCAUUCAGGAAGCCCACUGCCGGGGCACAGCUGUGGGGCAGGAGCUCAUGCCCUUGCCCAACUGAUGAAGUGAAGGGACCGUGUGCUGCUGGCUCUGAAGUGAAAACAAUCACUCUGAAAUCUCAGAGCUUCCUCAGAAAUGUAAAAAAAUGGGGUGGGAGCACAAGUUAAUUGUGCUUUUACACACUGUUAUACUUGUCACUGUGCCAGACUCUACAUUUCUUCCAAGGGUGAAAUGAAAACUCCAAAUUCAUGUGGUUAUGAAACAAUUUCAGUAUGAGCACUCAGUGAAGAAUUAUAAAGUGGGAAAGACACAGUCCUGUGUCUCAGCUGGUUGAGAAGGCUCUGAAUUGAUCAAGGCUUCUUCCAUCUUUAAGGAGUUUUCUGGAGUGUAUUGAAACCAUUCUGCAUCUGCAUAUUGAAUGCGUAUACUGCACUGCAGAAAAGCCGAUGUGUUAUGACAUUACUUUGAGUGGGAGAUGAGGCAACUGGCAGAAGGCAUCACUGUUGUUCCAAGAAAUCUCAUUUCUCUGCAUCUAGAAUUUAGGAAAUGAGUCUGAUUUGCCUGGUUUACACCAGAACAGACUCCUGCAUUGCAAAUAUAGCAAUAACUCACUGGCACUACUCCUGGAGAUGAGAUGGUGGUGGGAGAUCUGGAUGAGCAAGGACUUAACACCUUUUUCUCUGCCUACAGUAAUGCAGCUGAGAUAUAUGAAGGUAUUUGUUGGUUUAGCUGGAGUCAGCCCUACUCUCAAUUAGUCGUGAGACUAAUGAAGUGCAGUGCCAAUUUAAAAUCAGGUUAACCCUUGUGCUUCCAUCCUCUGUGCUUCGUUGACGCUGGAAGUAUAAGGUCAAUCCUGAUUAGCAUCACCAUGAAAGGAGAACUAGUCCAAACUAACAGUCACAUUGGAUAAGUAGUAUUUUGCUUAUUUUUGUUAUUAGAGAUGAGUCAAAGGGUCAAAAUACCCCAAGGCUAAAUCAAAACUGGAACCAAUCCACAUGAAAAAACUUGAGUGUGCCUGAAGUUGGCACAUACUGAACUAGUCUUGUAUAAAUUCAUACCCUUCAAGAUACUUGGUAGUCUCACUCCCACUUGGGUGCUCAGCUCCAAUUGAUAAUGCCAUGUGCUAAUUCAGGCACCCAGGCUUCCAUGUGAUGUUCUUACUGUGAAGAACAGUUGGUCUUGAGGGAAAACAUUUACAUAGAUGACACUAUUUUCAUCUGAAUGAAAAGUAAUGGGUGAAAAAGGAAGUUUUGACACUGUGUAAGGUGUAGGGUUUACACACAGUAGUUUUUGUUGCAUGUAUAUAAACGGGUGAUUUACCAUAUUUAAAUAAAAUAAAUUCACACA